rnacentral:tRNA from 3 species
GUUUAUUUAAUUUAAACAAAAUAUUAGAUUGUGAUUCUAAUUAUAAAAGUUAAAACCUUUUAAUAAACC